rnacentral:tRNA from 1 species
GUAUAGUGGUGAGUAUUCCCACCUGUCAUGUGGGAGACUGGGGUUCAAUUCCCUG